rnacentral:rRNA from 1 species
AGAGUUUGAUCAUCGGCUCAGAGUGAACGCGUGGCGGCAGGCCUAAUACAUGCAAGUCGAACGGCAGCACGGCAGAGCUUGCUCUUGGUGGGUGGCGAGUGGCGGACGGGUGAGGAAUACAUGGGAAUCUGCCCAGUCGUGGGGGAUAACGUAGGGAAACUUACGCUAAUACCGCAUGCGCCCUUCGGGGGAAAGCCGGGGACCUUCGGGCCUGGCGCGAUUGGAUGAGCCCAUGUCGGAUUAGCUAGUUGGCGGGGUAAUGGCCCACCAAGGCGACGAUCCGUAGCUGGUCUGAGAGGAUGAUCGGCCACACUGGUACUGAGACACGGUCCAGACUCCUACGGGAGGCAGCAGUAGGGAAUAUUGGACAAUGGGCGCAAGCCUGAUCCAGCCAUGCCGCGUGAGUGAAGAAGGCCCUCGGGUUGUAAAGCUCUUUUGUCCGGAAAGAAAAGCGCCGGGUUAAUACCCUGGUGUCCUGACGGUACCGGAAGAAUAAGCACCGGCUAACUUCGUG